rnacentral:rRNA from 1 species
UCCUACGGGAGGCAGCAGUGAGGAAUUUUCUGCAAUGGGCGAAAGCCUGACAGAGCAAUACCGCGUGAGGGAUGAAGACUUACUGAGUUGUAAACCUCGGUACCUUAAGGAAGAAGAUAUGACGGUACUUAAGGUGGAAAGCAUCGGCUAACUCCGUGCCAGCAGCCGCGGUAAGACGGGGGAUGCAAGUGUUAUCCGGAUUUACUGAAAAAAAGCGUCUGCAGGUGGUUUCUUAAGUCUACUGUUAAAUCUUGAGGCUCAACCUCAAAUCUGCAGUAGAAACUAGGAGACUUGAGUAUAGUAGGGGUAGAGGGAAUUUCCAGUGGAGCGGUGAAAUGCGUAGAUAUUGGAAAGAACACCGAUGGCGAAGGCACUCUACUGGGCUAUUACUGACACUCAGAGACGAAAGCUAGGGGAGCAAAUGGGAUUAGAUACCCCAGUAGUCCUAGCCGUAAACGAUGGAUACUCGAUGUUGGACGUAUCGACCCGUUCAGUAUCUUAGCUAACGCGUUAAGUAUCCCGCCUGGGGAGUACGCUCGCAAGAGUGAAACUCAAAGGAAUUGACGGA